GUCCACGCCGUAAACGAUGGAUACUAGCUGUUGGGGGCAACUUCAGUGGCUAAGCGAAAGUGAUAAGUAUCCCACCUGGGGAGUACGAACGCAAGUUUGAAACUCAAAGGAAUUGACGGGGCCCGCACAAGCGGUGGAGCAUGUGGUUUAAUUCGAUGAUACGCGAGGAACCUUACCAAGGCUUAAAUGCAGACUGACCGAUUUGGAAACAGAUCUUUCGCAAGACAGUUUACAAGGUGCUGCAUGGUUGUCGU
rnacentral:rRNA from 1 species